rnacentral:rRNA from 1 species
UACGUAGGGUCCGAGCGUUGUCCGGAAUUACUGGGCGUAAAGAGCUCGUAGGUGGUUUGUCGCGUUGUUCGUGAAAACUCACAGCUUAACUGUGGGCGUGCGGGCGAUACGGGCAGACUUGAGUACUGCAGGGGAGACUGGAAUUCCUGGUGUAGCGGUGGAAUGCGCAGAUAUCAGGAGGAACACCAAUGGCGAAGGCAGCUCUCUGGGACGGUACUGACGCUGAGACGCGAAAGCGUGGGGAGCGAACAGG